AAGACCUACAUGACAAUGAAUGAAAAUUUCGCCACAUAUUUCGUGGUCUGAUAUAAAAAGGCCCUCCUCUUUUAUGGUAACGGAACCCGCAGUCCUGAUUCAGUCAACAACCGAUACGAGCACAAAAAGGAACCCCCAACGACACGACCCAGGACCAGCCCACAGUCCCAUCUUCCAUCUCCAGCGCGCCGCCACCCUUGCCAUGCCGCCGCGUGCCGCGUCCCCUGCCACGCCCUCGCACCCCGCCUACCCCGUCGAUGCUCCUCCCCUUGUCGCAUGCGCCCCCACCUCUGCGGCCUUCGUCUGUCGAUCGGUGAGGAUGCAGCCAGCAAGGUUGCUGCCUAGGGUUGGCGGCGGAGUCGCUAGCGGCAAAGCUUUGGCUGUGGAUGCACAGAUGGGAAGGAGCCACCACAACAACCAGGAGAGUCUUCGUAGGGAGAAGCAACAUAGAGGACUCGCAAGGCGGCAGCGGCGACGAGCCCGGCGGUCUUGCCAACCGCACACACCUCGCCGAUAAAUUCUCGAUACCUAGGCAGGUUGGAUAGGUAGCUGGCUACUACCAUGUGAAACCAUUGAAUUAUUCUUGCAUAUUCAGGUAUGCGGAGUGACAUUAUGAGAAUUGGCAAGCAGACUCUGUGCUUGUUAGGAGAUUGUGCUUGCUUGCAUCAAGCUAUGGACUUGCUAGAUAAAUAAUAUAAAGGUGUGUUUGGUGCUUAUAUGAGGCUCCAAAAUAUGACUAUACGUACUACUUUGUUUUAUUCUUUGUAUUUGUCUGGAUAUUACCGAACGGAUCUAGAGCAUAGCCAUUGCGUUAUAGAGAGAGGUGGGGAUUGCUGCUGCUAUUUUUUAAUGAACGGUUGCUAGAUAUUGCUGAUGUAUAUAUAUAAUAUAGAUAUUGGCUGACCAGCUGCAUAUUCGUAUGACUUGUUCGACUCA